rnacentral:rRNA from 1 species
UACGAAGGGGGCUAGCGUUGCUCGGAAUUACUGGGCGUAAAGGGAGCGUAGGCGGAUAGUUUAGUCAGAGGUGAAAGCCCGGGGCUCAACCUUGGAAUUGCCUUUGAUACUGGCUAUCUUGAGUACGGAAGAGGUAUGUGGAACUCCGAGUGUAGAGGUGAAAUUCGUAGAUAUUCGGAAGAACACCAGUGGCGAAGGCGACAUACUGGUCCGUUACUGACGCUGAGGCUCGAAAGCGUGGGGAGCAAACAGG